UGGCGGCGUGCUUAACACAUGCAAGUCGAACGGAAAGGCCCUGCUUUUGUGGGGUGCUCGAGUGGCGAACGGGUGAGUAACACGUGAGUAACCUGCCCUUGACUUUGGGAUAACUUCAGGAAACUGGGGCUAAUACCGGAUAGGAGCUCCUGCUGCAUGGUGGGGGUUGGAAAGUUUCGGCGGUUGGGGAUGGACUCGCGGCUUAUCAGCUUGUUGGUGGGGUAGUGGCUUACCAAGGCUUUGACGGGUAGCCGGCCUGAGAGGGUGACCGGCCACAUUGGGACUGAGAUACGGCCCAGACUCCUACGGGAGGCAGCAGUGGGGAAUAUUGCACAAUGGGCGGAAGCCUGAUGCAGCAACGCCGCGUGCGGGAUGACGGCCUUCGGGUUGUAAACCGCUUUCGCCUGUGACGAAGCGUGAGUGACGGUAAUGGGUAAAGAAGCACCGGCUAACUACGUGCCAGCAGCCGCGGUGAUACGUAGGGUGCGAGCGUUGUCCGGAUUUAUUGGGCGUAAAGGGCUCGUAGGUGGUUGAUCGCGUCGGAAGUGUAAUCUUGGGGCUUAACCCUGAGCGUGCUUUCGAUACGGGUUGACUUGAGGAAGGUAGGGGAGAAUGGAAUUCCUGGUGGAGCGGUGGAAUGCGCAGAUAUCAGGAGGAACACCAGUGGCGAAGGCGGUUCUCUGGGCCUUUCCUGACGCUGAGGAGCGAAAGCGUGGGGAGCGAACAGGCUUAGAUACCCUGGUAGUCCACGCUGUAAACGGUGGGUACUAGGUGUGGGGUCCAUUCCACGGGUUCCGUGCCGUAGCUAACGCCUUAAGUACCCCGCCUGGGGAGUACGGCCGCAAGGCUAAAACUCAAAGGAAUUGACGGGGCCCCGCACAAGCGGCGGAGCAUGCGGAUUAAUUCGAUGCAACGCGUAGAACCUUACCUGGGUUUGACAUGGAUCGGGAGUGCUCAGAGAUGGGUGUGCCUCUUUUGGGGUCGGUUCACAGGUGGUGCAUGGCUGUCGUCAGCUCGUGUCGUGAGAUGUUGGGUUAAGUCCCGCAACGAGCGCAACCCUUGUUCACUGUUGCCAGCACGUUAUGGUGGGGACUCAGUGGAGACCGCCGGGGUCAACUCGGAGGAAGGUGGGGAUGACGUCAAGUCAUCAUGCCCCUUAUGUCCAGGGCUUCACGCAUGCUACAAUGGCUGGUACAGAGAGUGGCGAGCCUGUGAGGGUGAGCGAAUCUCGGAAAGCCGGUCUCAGUUCGGAUUGGGGUCUGCAACUCGACCUCAUGAAGUCGGAGUCGCUAGUAAUCGCAGAUCAGCAACGCUGCGGUGAAUACGUUCCCGGGGCUUGUACACACCGCCCGUCAAGUCAUGAAAGUUGGUAACACCCGAAGCCGGUGGCCUAACCGUUGUGGGGGAGCCGUCGAAGGUGGGACUGGUGAUUAGGAC
rnacentral:rRNA from 1 species